rnacentral:rRNA from 1 species
GGCAUCAGUAUUCCGUUGUCAGAGGUGAAAUUCUUGGAUUUACGGAAGACAAACUACUGCGGCAUCAGUAUUCCGUUGUCAGAGGUGAAAUUCUUGGAUUUACGGAAGACAAACUACUGCGAUCAGAUACCGUCGUAGUCUUAACCGUAAACUAUGCCGACUAGGGAUCGGGCGAUGUUCUUUUUCUGACUCGCUCGGCACCUUACGAGAAAUCAAAGUUUUUGGGUUCUGGGGGGAUUAUGGUCGCAAGGCUGAAACUUAAAGAAAUUGACGGAAGGUCACCACCAGGCGUGGAGCCUGCGGCUUAAUUUGACUCAAC